rnacentral:rRNA from 1 species
UGCAGUCGAGCGGUAGAGAAGAAGCUUGCUUCUUCUUGAGAGCGGCGGACGGGUGAGUAAUGCCUAGGAAUCUGCCUGGUAGUGGGGGACAACGUUUCGAAAGGAACGCUAAUACCGCAUACGUCCUACGGGAGAAAGUGGGGGAUCUUCGGACCUCACGCUAUCAGAUGAGCCUAGGUCGGAUUAGCUUGUAGGUGAGGUAAUGGCUCACCUAGGCAACGAUCCGUAACUGGUCUGAGAGGAUGAUCAGUCACACUGGAACUGAGACACGGUCCAGACUCCUACGGGAGGCAGCAGUGGGGAAUAUUGGACAAUGGGCGAAAGCCUGAUCCAGCCAUGCCGCGUGUGUGAAGAAGGUCUUCGGAUUGUAAAGCACUUUAAGUUGGGAGGAAGGGUUGUAGCUUAAUACGCUGCAACUUUGACGUUACCAACAGAAUAAGCACCGGCUAACUCUGUGCCAGCAGCCGCGGUAAU